UUGAGAAAGUCUCAGACACUCACUGUGAUAUGUUCAAGGCAGUUGCAUUGAACAUAUCACAGUGAGUGUCUGAGACUUUCUCUUUU